UGUAACUCUUCCCAAUUUGGCAUUUUUAGAUCCAAAUAUGGAAUAAAGAUAUUGAAAUUCCAGAACAAUGACUCUCCCUAUGCCAUCCAAAGAGACAUCGCAAUACCAAAUAAAGUCAGCCACUCCAACUACUUAAGAAUCAGCUUUCAUCAGAAGUUUUUCAACUGCGUUAUUGGGUUAUUUGAAAUCUGAAGUGCAAUAAAGAGUUUGUUAUAGCAACCAUUCAUCUGUUGAAUUUUUUACUACCAAUCUUUUGUGAAGUUAGGGGAGACUAAAAGCCAAAAUCAUGUAAAUCUGUACAAAUUUUUGCUUCUGUUACUUUAUCUACUUGAUGAAUGAUGUGCAUAUGAAUCCUGUUUGGUGUGUUGAGUGCCAUAAAUGAAUAACUCAUGUUUUGUAGAUGAAAUGUACAGAAAGGAAAGCAAUAAACUUUUGAAUGCUAGGUGGGCAGUGAUCUGACUUUUACAUGCUGCAGUUGCACAUCUUUCUUGGGUGAAAUGUACUUUAUCAUCCAAAUUUACAAGUGUAGUUACUUUUCACCUUAACCUGUUUAACUGAUAAUUUUACUCGAUUACUUAAUAUUAA